GGAAGGUAGAGCUAGUCGAGUUUGACUCAAUAAAGAGACAACUCGAUAGAGAUGACAGUCGAAAUCAAGAGAUAAUGAACAGACUGAAAAUCAUAGAAGACAGUCUUGAAGAUUUAAAAACAAUAAAAGAAAUGGUAACAAGCAUACUUGCUUCCGGCAACAGUGUUUGAAAACAGAAUACAGCAAAUGAAAUGUGUUGUCGAAAUGUAUGAACAUUUGUUUUAACGCAAAGUUGCGUAAGACGGUCAGAUUUAAGAUACUCAUAUUCAUUACAAGAUUCAAGAUACUUAUAUUAAUUACUAGAUUUAAGAUACUUGUAUUCAUUACUAGAUUUAAGAUACUUAUAUUCAUUACUAGAUUUAAGAUAAUUAUAUUCCUUACUUCAAAUUAACCUCCGCCAGCCAUGAGAAGAACAACUAAACAAACAUAUUGACGAAUUGAUAUUUCUGAAUAGGUACAUGUAUAUUCCUCCUUUAGACCUUUUUGAUUUUCUUUCAUAAAUCCAUUCUAGUUAGCAAUAAGAAAUAUACCAUUUUACAAUUUAAAGCAUCUUUGCUACUUCUCCAUUUUUAAUCGGGAAUGACACUAAGG